rnacentral:siRNA from 1 species
UUCUGACAACAACGAGCUGAUGGA